GCCCCAGACUCCUACGGGAGGCAGCAGUGAGGAAUAUUGGUCAAUGGGCGGAAGCCUGAACCAGCCAAGUCGCGUGAGGGAAGAAGGCCCUGCGGGUCGCAGACCUCUUUGGACGGGGAGCAAGGCCGCCGACGUGUCGGCGGAAGGAGAGUACCCGUAGAACAAGCAUCGGCUAACUCCGUGCCAGCAGCCGCGGUAAUACGGAGGAUGCGAGCGUUAUCCGGAUUUAUUGGGUGUAAAGGGAGCGUAGGCGGUGCAGCAAGUCAGAAGUGAAAGCCCGGGGCUCAACUCCGGGACUGCUUUUGAAACUGUUGAACUAGAUUGCAGGAGAGGUAAGUGGAAUUCCUAGUGUAGCGGUGAAAUGCGUAGAUAUUAGGAGGAACACCAGUGGCGAAGGCGGCUUACUGGACUGUAAAUGACGCUGAGGCUCGAAAGCGUGGGGAGCAAACAGGAUUAGAUACCCCGGUAAA
rnacentral:rRNA from 1 species